AUUGAACGCUAGCGGGAUGCCUUACACAUGCAAGUCGAACGGCGUGGCGCACGGGUGAGUAUUGUAUCUGUCCGUGCCCCUUCCCGGUGGAUACCUACGCCAACGCGUAGCUAAUCCCGCAUACUCUUGCCCCGGCCUAUAACGGCAUAGCUAGUUGGUGGGGUAACGGCUCACCAAGGCCACGGUCCCUAGCUGUGUUGAGAGGGAGACCAGCCACACUGGAACUGAGACACGGCCCAGACUCCUACGGGAGGCAGCAGUGGGGAAUUUUGGACAAUGGGUGAAACCCUGAUCCAGCCAUCCCGCGUGUGCGAUGAAGGCCUUCGGGUUGUAAAGCACUUUUGGCAGGAAAGCGGUACCUGCAGAAGAAGCACCGGCUAACUACGUGCCAGCCGCCGCGGUAAUAC
rnacentral:rRNA from 1 species